rnacentral:tRNA from 1 species
GGAGAGAUGGCAGAGUGGUCGAAUGCGGUUGACUCGAAAUCAAUUAUACUUGCAAAGGUAUCGGGGGUUCAAAUCCCUCUCUCUCCGCCA